AAUCUAUUAUCAUCGUUCAUUUGUGUGCGCACAUACCAUUCUUUAUGCACGCAUAACCCCCUCUUUUUACUAGUGUGCGUACGCACGAGUCCCUCUCGAACGGUAAUUCGAAAAAGAGAACUGUAUCGCGCUUAAGAAUCCCCCCGCCUUUACCCCUUUCUUCUUCUUUUCUUCUCUGAACCCACCCCACCCUAGCCACCCUAGCCACCCUGACCACCUCCGUCCCACCACCGCGGACCAGUAACGCCGGCGGCCACCACAACCACCCCUCUCCCUCCUCUCUUCUCUCUUCCCACGCCAACAGCCCCUGUCCCGUACCCUUCCCUGUUCGCGUCCAACCAGGAGCUCCGGAAGCGGCUUUCCGGCGGCGAAAUUCUGGGCCGCCGCGCAUCACCACCUCCCCUCCGUUUCCCCUUCAUUCUCUCUUUCUCACCAACGCAGGAUGCGUCGUAAGGGAAAGGAGAAAACUUCUUCCAAGGCUCCUGUCCCUAUCCCCCCAAGCAACCAGCCUGAUACUUUCUUCAUUGAGAAGGCCCAAGAGCACUAUAGAAAAGUGGAAAAGAAGACCUUCCAUUAUGAAAGGAAGCUGAAUUUACCAGAUAAAUAUGCUGAGGCUAUCACCAACCGCCUGGACUACUAUGGAUGGAAAUUCAUAGAAUUCAACCCAGUGGAAGUCAAUGAUGUAUGGUCAAGGAAUUCUAUGGAAAUUUACCCAACGAGGGCGCCGAGUCAGUUUUCCUUAGAGGAAUGCAGUUGGACACUUCCAACCAUGCUUUAGAGGCACUCCUCCCGAUUCCGCACAUUCCAGAGAGCGAGGAUGAUUAUAUUAAGAUAGCGGUGGAUCUGAUUCAAGGAAAAAUCAGGUUAGACGCAGUUCUGGAGAAGAUUGGCCUACCUGAGGCCAGGUGGGAGUACAGCAGGGGAGAGAAAGCGGUACCCCUAAGCAUUGCAUGCUCAUAUCUACAUCCUGAGGCGAGGAUCUAGCAGCAGAUCAUUGCCGAUUAUAUCCUGCCAAGCACACAUGCUACACACAUCAGAGUCAGAGAGGCAGUUCUUCUAUGGGCUAUUCUGGAGGGUAAGAGGAUUUCUAUUCUGGCCUUUAUCAGAGAGUCGAUGUGGAAGGAGAAGUAUAACAUCGCCUUCCCAUCGAUGAUCACGAGACUGGCCACACUAUCUUGGGUUGAGCGGAGACCGGGAGACCGGAUGUCUACCCUCAUCAGCACCCAUCCAUUUCUGCCUCGUGGAGAGUAUGAGGGACCGCCGCCAAAGAAAAGGAAGACCACUGAGCCUUCAUCAUCAUCAGCACCUUCAGCACCUGCCCCUGCACCACGGCCAUCAUAUGAGCUGGUUCAGUACCUUCUUCAGGAGCUUCGCCGCCAUGAGCACCGCUUUCAGUGGUUGGCCGCCAGAUAGGAUGGUCGAGACCCCGGUCCACCUCCUAUAGCUACACCUGAGUCUGAGCCAGAGCCCGAGCAUGAGACUGAGCGGCCAGUGGUAGAGGCAAAAGCAGCAGAGGUAGCAGCUGAGGACACAGCAGUUGAGGCAGCUGACCAGCCAGUCCAGCAGCAGGCAGCUGAGACCACCACAGGACCGACCCAGGACAUCAUCAUUUACCAGCCACCACAGCACCCACCAUCGUAGAGUUAGACCCCCAAUCCGAUUUUUUGGCACGGAGGACCGUGCACCAUUUAAGUAUGGGGGAGGAUCUACUAUUUUUUUGUGUAAAAUUUCUCUCCUAAACACUUUAGCAUUAGUUACUUUACUUUUUAUUAUGCUUUUGCGGAUUUAGAGUACUUUACCUUAUGCACUAGAUGUUAGUACUUUGGUAGUUGUAUAUAUGUUAGUAUGUUUAUAUCUUUAGCAUUGCAUCUUUAUUUUGGUAUAUAGAUAUUGCACUUUUAGUUAAUCGGUAUAUACAUAUUUUGAUUGUGAUUGGAUGAUAUAAAUAGCAUAGCACUUAGUUCGAUUUUGAUCCUAAUUGUGUAUUUUGGUCUUUGAAUGCAACAAUUAGAAAAAGAACUAAGAAUUUUGAAAAUUUUUUGCAUCUAUCACAAUAUACAUACAUAUAGGAAAUAACUUUGGUGAAAAACAAGAAUUUUCAAGAAUUUUGUUUUGAGGGCAUACCAAUGAAUUGAUUUGGAAAAUCCUUGUAACUUGCUUGAACUAUUUUUGUGAAACAUAGAAAUGUUAAGAACAAAAUACCUUGUGAGAUUUGAGCCUAUAAUGAAUGGUUACACCUUAUAACCGCAAAUUUUGUUCAUUGUGUGCUAUAUCUCUUCUAUGAUUGUAAUCUUGGUUGUGUUUGAUUCUUUAUUUCGAAUAGUUGAUGUUUGAAUGCAUUGAGCAUGAUUGGGGCUAUCUUUGUUUUAAACUCAACCACAUGGACAUACCCUUGUAACUACCAUUGUUAACCUCCUUUGAGCCUUAUUUACCCCAUUGUUUGAUUUUAGCACAUUACAACUUUAAGUGGAAAACCAUGAUUUACCUUGAUUGUAUCCUUGAUUAGCUUAGGUUGAAAAGUGUAUUGCAUUUAAGUGUAGGAGAAUUUUGGAGGAACUUUGGUAGAAAAGAUUGAAAGUAUUUUGGGUAUGCUUUGAAAAUUUUAAAGUGGUUGCAUUCAUGUAUAGAAUUAUUAAACCAUAUGCAUUUUAGUUUCUUGCUUUAAAAAAAAGAAAAAAAAAAGAGAGAAGAGAAGAAGUGGGACAGAAGUCACCCCAAAGGGAAAAGGGAGCAAAUAAAUAAUGCAUAUGUGUUAUGAAUGGAAAGCAUAUACAUGAAUGUGUGAGAAAGAAAAUGAUGGAAGGUUAGGUUGCAUCUUUUGUUAUUGGAUUGAUAUAGGUUGAGUGGGUACUUAAACUGAUCAAGGAUUCAAUCUUCCUAGUCCACUUAGCCAUGUUUAUCCCACCUUAACCCUAACUCCAUUACAAUCCUAUGAAGUCCUCAUGAUACUUGCAUUCAUACAUCAUACAUUGUUGAUGGUUAGAUGAAAAGCAAAUCCUUGAAAGCAUGAUUAGAAGAGACUUGAAUUAUUAAAACCUUAAACACCGAGCGAUAGAGUGCAUACACGUUCGGGAGGUUCGAUCACUCAAUUCUAUGUUUUCACAUUUCUUAUCAUGUAUUCUUGUAAGUGCUUCAUUUUGAAAUUCAAAUUAAUUCUUGGAAUUUUGAGUUAUUUCUUUGUUUAGCCCUAUAUGUUCAUAUUCUUGCUUGAAGAUUUGUUUGUUUGUUUUCACCAAAUUCAUAGGAUAACUAUAGUAUAUAUAAAUAUAGAUAGUAUAUAGUAUACUUGCAUGCAUAUAGGUAGUUGCAUUUAACAAAUCAUUACCCCUUUGAUCUUUCUCCUUGUUUGAGUUAGCAUGAGGACAUGUUAUUGUUUAAGU